rnacentral:lncRNA from 1 species
GCAGCUGGUGUAAGGCCCUGGCAGGCUGAGGCGCUGCUGUCUAUUGGGGUUUACUUCUGUCUACAUUGAAACAUGGCUUGGGAGGGGGUUGGUGGCCUGCUGCCAGCCUCAGUUAGCCUGCCCUUCUCUUUCCUCUUUCCUCCUCACCACCAACCCCCCCCCCCCCAACUCCCCUCCCUCAUGCUUUAAAGUCACAUUUCCAGGCCAGACGUAGAAUUAAUCUCUGGGCACUUCACAUUGCUGGCAGCUGAAAGCAGGAUGUGGGAUCUUUUUUUUUUUUUUCUCUCUUUCUCUCUCUCUGCGUCUUGGCUGACUUUUUUACCUCUCGAAGAAUUUGGAAGGCCGUGAGAUCCCCCCCCCCCUCAAGUACUGUGGAGUUUUUCAGCACGCUGAUCACCCUGCUGCGGCUUCACCCUAAUAGACUUCAUAUGUUGAUGCAGUUGACAUCAGUAUCAAACUAUUUUACAUGUGAUCUGGUGUAUUUCCUGAGGAAAUCUGCAAGAUAUUUAUUAAGAACUAAUAAAAUAAACCUCUCCAUGA